rnacentral:rRNA from 1 species
AUGGAGGCGCAACUGGAGGGGAGGCGGUUCUUCGGAGGCGACUCCAUAGGGCUGCUCGACGUCGCCGCCAGCGGGCUCGCCUGGCUCUCGGUGCUGGAGGAGGUCGCCGGCGUGGAAACUAGCAUGAUCCGCGAGGAGGAUUACCCUGCCUUGUGCCGGUGGCGCGGGGAGUAUGCCUCCGACGAGGUCGUGAAGAAGUGCUUGCCGAGCAGGGACGAGAUGGUCGCCUACUACGCGGCUAUGAAGGACCGCUUCGUGCUCCUUGCCAAGUCAAUGCACAAGAAAUAA